rnacentral:rRNA from 1 species
UGGGGAAUUUUGGACAAUGGGGGCAACCCUGAUCCAGCCAUGCCGCGUGCGGGAAGAAGGCCUUCGGGUUGUAAACCGCUUUUGUCCGGGAAGAAAAGACCACGGCUAAUACCUGUGGUUCUUGACGGUACUGGAAUCAUAAGCACCGGCUAACUACGUGCCAGCAGCCGCGGUAAUACGUCGGGUGCGAGCGUUAAUCGGAAUUACUGGGCGUAAAGCGUGCGCAGGCGGUUCGUUGUGUCUGCUGUGAAAUCCCCGGGCUCAACCUGGGAAUGGCAGUGGAAACUGGCGAGCUUGAGUGUGGCAGAGGGGGGUGGAAUUCCGCGUGUAGCAGUGAAAUGCGUAGAGAUGCGGAGGAACACCGAUGGCGAAGGCAACCCCCUGGGCUAACACUGACGCUCAGGCACGAAAGCGUGGGGAGCAAAC